UACGUAGGUGGCAAGCGUUGUCCGGAUUUACUGGGCGUAAAGGGCGUGCAGGCGGUCUGUUAAGUUCAGGGUGAAAGCUCCCGGCUCAACUGGGAGAGGUCCUUGGAUACUGGCAGACUUGAGGGAGGUAGAGGAGAGUGGAAUUCCCGGUGUAGUGGUGAUAUGCGUAGAUAUCAGGAGGAACACCUAUUGCGAAGGCAGCUCGCUGGGACGUGACUGACGCUGAGACGCGAAAGCGUGGGGAGCAAACAGG
rnacentral:rRNA from 1 species